GUCAGACCCCUCCGCCGAUGCCAGUCAUUGCUCCGGCGGACACGGUGAGUUUCAUUUGAAUGGACAUUACUUAUUAGUCUUCACAUUUGAGUUGCAUCAUGCUAACAAGACAUUGCAAAUGAUCUUUAAUUUGGUAUAGCAUAACUCCCGACAAGCAUCGAUGUCUGCCAUUGGCGCGAGCAAGAACCCCAAUCCUCCUCCGUCUGCCACUACUGCGAGCAAGAACCCCGAUCCUUCACCUACAGGUUGACGGUAAGUUUUGCCUAGUGCUUUGCUUAAUUAGCUCUAAAUUGACCUAUUUAACCUAGGAUAGCUCGAAAAUGACCUAUACUUAGCAUUUUUUCCUCCAAAAUGACUUAAUAUGCUUAGCUAGCUCAAAAUUGACCUAUUUAACCUAGGAUAGCUCUAAAAUAACCUAUACUUAGCAUUUUUUCCUCCAAAUGACUUAAUAUGCUAAGCUAGCUCUAGAAUGACAUAAUAUAUAUGCUUAGUUCCAAAAUGACCUUGCUUAGCAUUUUUUACACCAAAAUGACUUAGUAUGCUUAGCUAGCUCAAAAAUGACAUAAUAACCAUACUUAGCUCCAAAAUGACCUAUUUUACAGAUAUAAGUUGCAUCAUAAUAAUCUUCUUAUUCUAGUCUUCUUCUUCUAACUUUCUUCUUUCCCAUUUUGUAGAUUUGCUUCAGAUCACGGAAGCAUGGGUUGAUGGAGUGCUUGUCUUUAGUUUUUGUUUUGACUUUGUGAAACUCGCUACCAAUGAUGAAACUGUGUAAUAUUGAUGAAACUAUGUAUAUGUAUGGAUGAAACUUGCUACUAUUGGUAACAUGUGUUGGAUAUAUUUGCGUUCAUGACUAUUGGUAAUAUGUGUUGAAUAUGCU
rnacentral:lncRNA from 1 species